CAGUAGCCGCGGGAAUACAGAGGGUGCAAGCGUUAAUCGGAAUUACUGGGCGUAAAGCGCGCGUAGGUGGUUUGUUAAGUUGGAUGUGAAAUCCACGGGCUCAACCUGGGAACUGCAUCCAAAACUGGCAAGCUAGAGUAUGGUAGAGGGUGGUGGAAUUUCCUGUGUAGCGGUGAAAUGCGUAGAUAUAGGAAGGAACACCAGUGGCGAAGGCGACCACCUGGACUGAUACUGACACUGAGGUGCGAAAGCGUGGGGAGCAAACAGGAUUAGAUACCCCAGUAGUCCCUGUCUCUUAUAC
rnacentral:rRNA from 1 species